GCGUGCCUAUAACAUGCAAGUCGAACGAGUUCUGAUUAUUGAAAGGUGCUUGCAUCUUGAUUUAAUUUUGAACGAGUGGCGGACGGGUGAGUAACACGUGGGUAACCUGCCCUUAAGUGGGGGAUAACAUUUGGAAACAGAUGCUAAUACCGCAUAAAUCCAAGAACCGCAUGGUUCUUGGCUGAAAAUGGCUAAGCUAUCGCUUUUGGAUGGACCCGCGCUAUUACCUAGUUGGUGAGUAACUGGCCACCAAGGCAAUGAUCGUUCCUAACUGAGAGGUGAUCGUCACUUGGACUGAGACACGGCCCAAACUCUACGGGAGGCAGCAGUAGGGAAUCUUCCACAAUGGACGCAAGUCUGAUGGAGCAACGCCGCGUGAGUGAAGAAGGCUUUCGGGUCGUAAAACUCUGUUGUUGGAGAAGAAUGGUCGGCAGAGUAACUGUUGUCGGCGUGACGGUAUCCAACCAGAAAGCCACGGCUAACUACGUGCCAGCAGCCGCGGUAAUACGUAGGUGGCAAGCGUUAUCCGGAUUUAUUGGGCGUAAAGCGAGCGCAGCGGUUUUUUAAGUCUGAUGUGAAAGCCCUCGGCUUAACCGAAGAAGUGCAUCGGAAACUGGGAAACUUGAGUGCAGAAGAGGACAGUGGAACUCCAUGUGUAGCGGUGAAAUGCGUAAUAUAUGGAAGAACACCAGUGGCGAAGGCGGCUGUUGGUUGUAACUACGCUGAGGCUGAAAGCAUGGGUAGCGAACAGGAUUAGAUACCCUGGUAGUCCAUGCCGUAAACGAUGAAUGCUAGGUGUUGGAGGGUUUCCGCCCUUCAGUGCCGCAGCUAACGCAUUAAGCAUUCCGCCUGGGGAGUACGACCGCAAGGUUGAAACUCAAAGGAAUUGACGGGGGCCCGCACAAGCGGUGGAGCAUGUGGUUUAAUUCGAAGCAACGCGAAGAACCUUACCAGGUCUUGACAUCUUUUGAUCACUUGAGAGAUCAGGUUUCCCUUCGGGGGCAAAAUGACAGGUGGUGCAUGUUGUCGUCAGCUCGUGUCGU
rnacentral:rRNA from 1 species